GCCCGCCGCUCGCCAUCUUGGAGGAGACGAGGGGAGGAGAGGGGCGACCUCUGCCCCGGAAGAGAAUCUCCAAGUUGGCCUGGCGGAGGAGGAAGUUGGUGGUUGCUAGGCGACCGGGAGUCGCGAGCUUGUAGGUCCCAGAGCUGGCGUCGGAAACCGGUCUUCUUCCGGUCUCGCGGGGAGAAAUUUGUUUUCCUAGUGACUAGCGCCCCUAUUCCGGCUGGAAAGGCGGCUGCAGGAAGGGGCUCACCGAAAUUGUCAGCCAAAGCCGCGGGCGUGCUGGUGCGACCAUUGUGGUCAGGCUGCGGCGGGGCGACUGGCUUCGGGAGAGAAGAGUCUGUGAGAUGCUAAUUAAUUUAAGAAACUCUAGGGAGUCCCUUGAAGGAGGCAGGUAGAGGCACAGCUUCUCAGGAGUGUUUCGGAAUUGCCAUUUCAGGACUUGAACAGUGAUCAGGAGAACUCGGGGCUGAUUCUGCGGGAAGUGAAGUACUGAAAAUUUUCAAGAUCUUACCACUGGGCAGUCGAAGGGAUGACCACACAUCCUGAGCACCCCAGUCUGGUGUGAUGGGGGGACAGCUGAUAACCGGAUAUGCAGUAUUACCAGACAUCACUGGGCCCAAACCAUUGCUUCUGCCAGCCACUGCGACAAAUACAGUAGGUAUGCCAUCGCCUAGGGAAAUUACAAGAUAACCAGGUCCUUUUGUUUUGUUGACAAUAACAGCAGGAACAAAAAAAGGGGGGGGGGCAUGUUAGAUGGCUCAGUGGGUAAGGGGAACUGUUGCCAAGUCUGGUGACCUGUUUGACCUCUAGAACCCAUAUAGUGGCAAAGAAUUGACUCUUGCAAGCUGUUCUCUAACCUCCACAUAUACUAUAAAAAUAAAUGUAAAAUACAAAAUGAACUCAAAUCCUUUAGUAGUCUGCUAUAGAAAAAGCAUACCUAGCUGUACAGUUAAUAAUAACCUAAGUAGCAUAGGAAUGGCCAUUUUUGAGAUCUACAGUAUAAAGAGAAUGUCCUGAAGUUGGUAAGGAAAUGGCUGGUUCACAGCUUCCUUCUGAUAUUGCUGCUUAGACUCAGCAGCAUGAAGAACCUCACCAGCUGAACAGCUAUCUUUUAUGAUGAGUUGUCCUUCCAGAGGGUGCCAGUAGACUCAUUUAAUAGUGAUUAAAAUUCUCGUGGCUACUUCCAGUAUUCAGUAUUUGGGUGCUGGAGUACAUGUAGUAAAAGCACCCAAAGUUAAAGGGCUUAGGAUGCUUGAGUUGAAAGGCCCAUCAUUAGCAGUAUCAAAAACCAACAGCAAAAGUACAUCUCUAUAUCUCAAAAGUUUAGGAAGUUUGUAUAUUUAAUACAGUGUUACUCUAGCCCAGGCUCAGCUUGAAUUACAGCAAACCCGACCUUCCCACCUGUUAGGACUACAGGUCCUGGUUUUAUGUGGUGCUGGAUACUGAAUCCUGAAUUUCUUAUUACAACUUAGUCUGCCUUUCUGGAGAAAGAAUCCAAGCCUUCAUUAGCUUAUUAAAGGACCGGAAGCCCUCCUCCCAUUGUUAACUACACUUCUGUUAAGUUUUCUUGUACCAACGAUAUCCUAUCAUUUACUUAAUGUAUUAACUCCUGAAACUAUAGCUUUAUUUCUUAUUUUCUUUCAAGAAAACUGACAAAGAUACCAGAGAGGCCCUGCUGCUUUAGCCUUAGGCAUCCCACAGUUGGGGUAAGGGAUUCUUUUCUUUUGGAAUAAGCCAGCAACAGUGCUCAAGGGGCACUGUUAAUAAGACAAGGAGACCACACAUCCUUCUAUUUUAUGUGUAUGGCUGUUUUGCCUCCAUGUCUAUGCAUGGGUGUGGUGUGCAGUGCUCCUGGAGGCCAGAAGAAGUUGAUGGAUUCCCCUGGACUGGAGCUAGAUGGCUGUGAGUGCUCCUCUUAAUCAAUGAGCCUUUUUUUUUUUUUUUUUUUAAAGAUUCAAAAAAAU